UUACUACUCCCUCCGUCCCAAAAUUCUUGUCUUAGAUUUGUCUAAAUACGGAUGUAUCUAGUUACGUUUUAGUGUUAGAUACAUCCGUAUCUAGACAAAUCUAAGACAAGAAUUUUGGGACGGAGGGAGCAUUUC
rnacentral:pre_miRNA from 1 species